rnacentral:tRNA from 1 species
ACCUAAGUAGUUUAAAAAGAACACUAGUUUGUGGCACUAGAAGAGGCUACUAUAAAAUGCCCUUAAGUC